GCCCGAGUGGUGAAAUUGGUAGACGCACCAGACUCAAAAUCUGGCGGAGGCAACUCCGUGCCGGUUCAAUUCCGGCCUCGGGCACCA
rnacentral:tRNA from 1 species